rnacentral:lncRNA from 1 species
GUAUAGAAAUAUUAAUCAGAAAAUGAUUCAUUUGAAGCUCAAUUUCUUUCAAAAGCAUUUACAUUUUCUUUCUUUUAAGAAUCAUUUGAGUGAGCUGAAAUAUUUCUAGCUUUAAGAUCAUUCACUCUAUAUAUAUAUUUUGAUGGAAGUCUUUAAGAAUGUAGGAGAGAAAAACAUAUAGAUGAUCAUUGAGGUAUAUAUAUUUAUAGAACUCAAUUUCUUAAUCAUAGUUUUUCAGCAAUGUAUACAUGAAGCACAAUAAAUUUUUUCAAUAUCAAAAUAAAAUAAUAUAUUUAAAAAUAUUUGUUGCAAUCAAGAUCAUCGAAAGACACAUCAUUUAGACCAAUAUUAGUACACUUUAAAGAUAAAAAAUGAUAUGUUUCAGAUGCGUAUCGGGGCAAACAAUCAAUGCAUCAGAAUUAUUCUAUUUUUCUUAAACUGUAGUUUUUAUUUAGAAAUCAUAUUGAGUUUAAGCUUUUAUACAAAAUCAGAUUCUGAAUUUCAUAAAGAUUUUCAAUAGAGACUUUCAAAAU